rnacentral:rRNA from 1 species
ACGCUCGACACCUACGGGGGGCAGCAGUGGGGAAUAUUGGGCAAUGGGCGCAAGCCUGACCCAGCAACGCCGCGUGAAGGAAGAAGGCCCUCGGGUUGUAAACUUCUUUUGUCAGGGACGAAGCAAGUGACGGUACCUGACGAAUAAGCCACGGCUAACUACGUGCCAGCAGCCGCGGUAAUCUGAGCGGGCUGGCAAGGC